ACGGGGUGCAGCAGGCGCGAAAACUUUGCAACGAGCGAAAGCACGACAAGGUUAAUCCGAGUGGUUUCUGCUAAAGAAACCUUUUGUCAGUCCUAGAAACACUAACGAAUAAGGGGUGGGCAAGUUCUGGUGUCAGCCGCCGCGGUAAAACCAGCACCUCAAGUGGUCAGGAUGAUUAUUGGGCCUAAAGCAUCCGUAGCUCGUUUUGUAAGUUUUCGGUUAAAUCCAUGCGCUUAACGUAUGGGCUGCCGGGAAUACUGCAUAACUAGGAAGUGGGAGAGGAAGACGGUACUCGGUAGGAAGGGGUAAAAUCCUUUGAUCUAUUGAUGACCACCUGUGGCGAAGGCGGUCUACCAGAACACGUUCGACGGUGAGGGAUGAAAGCUGGGGGAGCAAACCGGAUUAGAUACCCGGGUAGUCCCAGCUGUAAACUAUGCAAACUCAGUGAUGCAUUGGCUUGUGGCCAAUGCAGUGCUGCAGGGAAGCCGUUAAGUUUGCCGCCUGGGAAGUACGUACGCAAGUAUGAAACUUAAAGGAAUUGGCGGGGGAGCAC
rnacentral:rRNA from 1 species